GCUGAAUCACAUAAGAAACGUUUCAUGGGUUGUCUUCUUCUGGCAUAUAGCCAAAGGGAAACUGUAGUUGUUCAGUAAUUUUUCUUCAUUGUGAAAGCAGACAGUAUGGAGGCGAUUCAAGAAUGGGUCAAACAAUCAAAGGGAAUUGUGCCUAAUGUGGCUUGUAGCUUCUGCCUUGUGGUCUUGGAGAAGAUUCUGGAGCUGGAGGUUCGGUGUCCCUGCAAUUAUAUAUAUAAAAUGUUCUUUACGAUUGCAUUCUUUAUCAUUCCUGCCCUGCUUUCAUUCUUGCUGAUGCUACAAGUUCAAGGAUCUAGGGGUAACAUAGUAAAAUGGAAGGCUUACUUGUCAAGCCUCAUCCCUUCGUUGGUGUGGUGGAUCGUAAUGUUCUUUGAUGGCAGAUACGUUGCUUGUGCCAUGACAAAAUUAAAUGAAACAGGGGUCAUUCGUAAUGAAGAUUUUUCUGUGAAAAUGUGUGAGGAAGCAGGGAAAGAUCAACAUCAGAAUUUCCUUUUUUGGGAAAUCUGUUCUCAGGGCAUUGGUAUGGCUCUGCUCUUGGUCGCCUGUGGGGCAGUUAUAGUAUCCAUAUGCAACAACUACACCUGGGAUUUAGGAGAAGUCAGUGAUGACGUUACAGAAAGAAGAAGAGGCAUCGGAAGCAGUGUAAGAACAGGAGGAGAAGCAGGACUAGGAGGAAGAGGUGGAGGAGGACUAGGAGGAAGAGGUGGAGGAGGACUAGGAGGAAGAGGUGGAGGAGGACUAGGAGGAAGAGGUGGAGGAGGACUAGGAGGAAGAGGUGGAGGAGGACUAGGAGGAAGAGGAGGAGAAGGAACAGAAGCAGCACAGGCAUCAGAAGCAGG